rnacentral:lncRNA from 1 species
UUUUGACUUAGGCAAGUGCUUUUAUCUCAUCUCCAUUUUUCAUUUCUUUUCUCUUUUUACUUUUGGUAGAAGUAUAUGUUUCUACAAACCUUUUUUUUUCUUUUGUUGCACUUGCCCUUUUUAUAUUUCUAAAGAUCACCAUCCCAAACUUAUCUUUUUGCACGAAUUUGGAACUACAACAGUCAUACCGAGCGGGGGUAG